AGGGGUGUAGUUCAUCGGUAGAACGGCGGUCUCCAAAACCUCAGAGGUGGGUUCGAUUCCUUCCACCCCUG
rfam:Lachnospiraceae bacterium TWA4 TWA4_scaffold00001, whole genome shotgun sequence.